rnacentral:rRNA from 1 species
UACGUAGGUGGCAAGCGUUGUCCGGAUUUACUGGGCGUAAAGAGCGCGCAGGCGGUCGUUCAAGUCGCGUGUGAAAGCCCCCGGCUCAACUGGGGAGGGUCACGCGAUACUGAUCGACUCGAAGGCAGGAGAGGGUAGUGGAAUUCCCGGUGUGGUGGUGAAAUGCGCAGAUAUCAGGAGGAACACCGAUGGCGAAGGCAGGUCUCUGGGCCACUACUGACGCUGAGGCACGAAAGCGUGGGGAGCAAACAGG